AUGAACGCUGGCGGCGUGUCUUAGGCAUGCAAGUCGAGUGGGUUUAGGCCCACGGCAAACGGGUGCGUAACACAUUGGUAACCUACCUUUAACCCAGACAUAACCUCGCGAAAGCGAGGCUAAUAUCUGAUGAUCCAGUAGCGCGCAGGCGCUACUAGUAAAGAUUUAUCGGUUGAAGAGGGGCCUAUGGUCCAUCAGCUAGUUGGUGAGGUAAUGGCUCACCAAGGCUACGACGGAUAGCGGGUAUUAACGUACGACCCGCCUCACCGGAACUGAAAACUGUCCGGACUCCUACGGGAGGCUGCAGUCAAGAAUAUUCCACAAUGCCCGAAAGGGUGAUGGAGCGACGCCGCGUGCAGGAUGAAGGCCUUCGGGUCGUAAACUGCUUUUCCCAGGGAAGAAUAUUUGACGGUACCUGGGGAAUAAGAGGCUGCUAACUCUGU
rnacentral:rRNA from 1 species